GCUUGCUUCGGCAGAACAUAUACUAAAACUGAAAUAAUAUAGAGAAGAUUAGUAUGAACACUAUGCAAGAAUGACAUGCAUAUUAGUGAAGGAUUCCAUAUUUUU